UGGUGAUUCACCAGAGAGUUGGGAAUAGUUGACGUUGGCAGACUGGCCAUGGAGAACAAGUAGAUUAUUAUUUUCUACAUGAUGUACGAUGCCAUGAAGAAGAAGCAGAUGGAACGUCGUUGACAGCUUGUUCUGAAGAAUGCUCCAACAGCACCUGCAAGGUUGUUCUCAGAACCGGUUGUUCUCAGAAGUCCACCAAGCCAACCUUGUAAAUAUACAGGCCACCCCCGACCACUCUGUCCAUCGCUUUGUUCUUGCUUUUGAGCUGGCCCACAUUGCCCUUGUAUGCCGUGCUCCACCAGCCGUCGUGCCGAGAUGCUGCCACAGCGAUCCCGUCCUUGUCGCCAGUUGUUCUAUCGCGGCCGAGACAUGCGCCCGAGCCAGCGUACGGUUCGGGCACCGCCCAGACGGACGCAUCCGACAAGGCAUUUGUGUUGAAUGCCGCAGAGACAGAGGAGUCC